CGCACGGGUGAGUAACACGUAUCCAACCUGCCGUCUACUCUUGGACAGCCUUCUGAAAGGAAGAUUAAUCCAGGAUGGCAUCAUGAGUUCACAUGUCCGCAUGAUUAAAGGUAUUCCGGUAGACGAUGGGGAUGCGUUCCAUUAGGUAGUAGGCGGGGUAACGGCCCACCUAGUCUUCGAUGGAUAGGGGUUCUGAGAGGAAGGUCCCCCACAUUGGAACUGAGACACGGUCCAA
rnacentral:rRNA from 1 species